GCAUGCCCUUGUCAUGCCAGUUACUCGGGAGACUGAGGCCAGAGCACUGCUUGGGUCCAGGAGUUCUGGGCUGUAAUGUGCUAUGUCCACUGUUUGGCAUCAAUAUGCUGACCUCUUGAGAGUGGGGAUUGCCUCCUGAGGUCGCCUAAAAAGGAGUGAUUCAGCUCAGGUCAGAAAAGG
rnacentral:sRNA from 1 species